GGGGAAUAUUGCACAAUGGGGGAAACCCUGAUGCAGCGACGCCGCGUGAGCGAUGAAGUAUUUCGGUAUGUAAAGCUCUAUCAGCAGGGAAGAAAAUGACGGUACCUGACUAAGAAGCCCCGGCUAACUACGUGCCAGCAGCCGCGGUAAUACGUAGGGGGCAAGCGUUAUCCGGAUUUACUGGGUGUAAAGGGAGCGUAGACGGCAUGGCAAGCCAGAUGUGAAAGCCCGGGGCUCAACCCCGGGACUGCAUUUGGAACUGUCAGGCUAGAGUGUCGGAGAGGAAAGCGGAAUUCCUAGUGUAGCGGUGAAAUGCGUAGAUAUUAGGAGGAACACCAGUGGCGAAGGCGGCUUUCUGGACGAUGACUGACGUUGAGGCUCGAAAGCGUGGGGAGCAAAC
rnacentral:rRNA from 1 species